rnacentral:misc_RNA from 2 species
AGCAGCCGCGGUAAUUCCAGCUCCAAUAGCGUAUAUUAAAGUUGUUGCAGUUAAAAGCUCGUAGUUGAAUUUCGGGGUCUGUCCGUCGGUCGGGCUUCACAGUCCGUACUGGUGUGAUGGGUUCCUACCUUCUGAAUAACCGGCAUGCCAUUCAGUUGGUGCGCCGGGGAAGCAGAGCUAUUACCUUGAAAAAUUAGAGUGCUUAAAGCAGGCUAGUGCUUGAAUAGAUUAGCAUGGAAUAAUAAAAUAGGACGGCAUGGUUCUAUUUUGUUGGUUUCUAGGAUCACCGUAAUGAUUAAUAGGGAUAGUUGGGGGCAUUAGUAUUCAAUUGUCAGAGGUGAAAUUCUUGGAUUUAUUGAAGACUAACUUCUGCGAAAGCAUUUGCCAAGGAUGUUUUCAUUAAUCAAGAACGAAAGUUAGGGGAUCGAAGACGAUCAGAUACCGUCGUAGUCUUAACCAUAAACUAUGCCGACUAGGGAUCGGACGAUGUUAAUUUUUAAUGACUCGUUCGGCGCCUUAA